AGAGAAGAAGACAUUCAGGGAGACACCAAGCCAGGGAGGUGACAAGUAUGUGGUAAAAUCCGAGCACGCAGAAUUUGGGGGAACAGGACUCUAGACUGCCUCUAGAGAGAGCUGUAUUGAAGGCCCUGCGACCCAGCACAGAGAAGGGAAUGGUGCUCUAGGUCCCUGCCUCUGCAGAAGACAAAUCCAGGAAGAGAACCAGGAAACUGCAGAGUAGCCAGCCACAUGCGAGAAAAAUCUGAAGGAGACGAAAAUGUUUCAGGAGAAAGGUACUGAGCAACCAAGGGGCUUAAUGCUGCUAGGUCAAGCAGAUUCAGAAGUGAGAUGCCACUGCUGGCUCUGGAAUCGUGGUGUCCCUGGGGCUUGGCUGGCCAGAGCAGUUUCCCUGGGACAUGGCCAGAGCAGACUUUUGGAGUGGGUGGGGGGUCGGAGAGGACAAGGAAAGGUGAUUCCCUAAGGGGUGAGCGCAUGAAGAUUAGCAAAGUCGUGGGACUGUGGAGAGAGGUGUGUGUGCAGUGACACUGGGUCUUCCUCUGUUUUGUUUAAAUGACAGAGGUUACUAAGCCACGUGGGUUUGUAGAUGGUGAUGCUAGAGAAGAGGGACACUCAUCCUGCAGAAGGGGAAGGAAAAUUAUCAGUCACGUUCUUGAGAAGACAAGGAGCGCUUGGCUGGGCUGAAAACGCAAGGGGAGGAUAGGACCUUUGCCGAGGGCAGGACGACUUACAGUGACACGAGGAAGGCACGAGUGAGGGUAGCAACGCCGUGUGCAGGCAGUCACA
rnacentral:lncRNA from 1 species